GUUCAUUCCUGAAUGUAUACUAAAAUUGGAACAAUGCAGAGAAGAUUAGCAUAGCCCUGUGCAAAUUUGCGAAGAUGUUAAGAGUAUUGCUAGGUAAUC
rnacentral:snRNA from 1 species